GACGAACGCUGGCGGCGUGCUUAACACAUGCAAGUCGAACGGAAAGGCCCUGCUUUUGUGGGGUGCUCGAGUGGCGAACGGGUGAGUAACACGUGAGUAACCUGCCCUUGACUUUGGGAUAACUUCAGGAAACUGGGGCUAAUACCGGAUAUGAGCUCCUGCUGCAUGGUGGGGGUUGGAAAGUUUCGUCGGUUGGGGCUGGACUCGCGGCUUAUCAUCUUGUUGGUGGGGUAGUGGCUUACCAAGGCUUUGACGGGUAGCCGGCCUGAGAGGGUGACCGGCCACAUUGGGACUGAGAGACGGCCCAGACGCCUACGGGAGGCAGCAGUGGGGAAUAUUGCACAAUGGGCGGAAGCCUGAUGCAGAAACGCCGCGUGCGGGAUGACGGCCUUCGGGUUGUAAACCGCUUUCGCCUGUGACGAAGCGUGAGUGACGGUAAUGGGUAAAGAAGCACCGGCUAACUACGUG
rnacentral:rRNA from 1 species